rnacentral:rRNA from 1 species
UACGGAGGGUGCAAGCGUUGUCCGGAUUUAUUGGGUUUAAAGGGUGCGUAGGUGGCUCCAUAAGUCAGCGUUGAAAUACGGCAGCUUAACUGUCGGACUGGCAUUGAUACUGUGGAGCUUGAGUAAAGUUGAGGUAGGCGGAAUUGAUGGUGUAGCGGUGAAAUGCUUAGAUAUCAUCAAGAACAUCGAUUGCGAAGGCAGCUUACUAAGCUUUAACUGACACUGAGACGCGAAGGCGUGGGGAGCGAACGGG